GAAUGUGGGGGUGAUCUGGCUCCAACAGCUGUCACCCGCGUUGAUCACCGGGGUAGAUUCAGCGGAUCUGGUUGGCUACCCUUGUGGGUGUUCCCUUUCCUCCCUUACACCCCUGAAAAAGACCUUCUCUUUUUAGAGGAAGACAAAGGUACCCCAAUAACUAUGCCUCCCUCCUAAAACCUCCAAACAAGUUCUCUCAAAAGAUAAUACAUUUGCUGUAUGACUAUACCACUCAACAGACGCUGGACCACGUCCAAAAGUAAUAAAUGUGUUUAAAGAAUUUU
rnacentral:sRNA from 1 species